AUUUUUUGUGGGGGGGGGUUUUUUUAGGGUUUUUCCCUCUCAGGGAAUGAGCUGGCGGCGUGCCUAAUACAUGCAAGUCGAGCGAACUGAUUAGAAGCUUGCUUCUAUGACGUUAGCGGCGGACGGGUGAGUAACACGUGGGCAACCUGCCUGUAAGACUGGGAUAACUCCGGGAAACCGGAGCUAAUACCGGAUAACAUUUUUUCUUGCAUAAGAGAAAAUUGAAAGAUGGUUUCGGCUAUCACUUACAGAUGGGCCCGCGGUGCAUUAGCUAGUUGGUGAGGUAACGGCUCACCAAGGCAACGAUGCAUAGCCGACCUGAGAGGGUGAUCGGCCACACUGGGACUGAGACACGGCCCAGACUCCUACGGGAGGCAGCAGUAGGGAAUCUUCCGCAAUGGACGAAAGUCUGACGGAGCAACGCCGCGUGAGUGAUGAAGGCUUUCGGGUCGUAAAACUCUGUUGUUAGGGAAGAACAAGUACAAGAGUAACUGCUUGUACCUUGACGGUACCUAACCAGAAAGCCACGGCUAACUACGUGCCAGCAGCCGCGGUAAUACGUAGGUGGCAAGCGUUAUCCGGAAUUAUUGGGCGUAAAGCGCGCGCAGGCGGUUUCUUAAGUCUGAUGUGAAAGCCCACGGCUCAACCGUGGAGGGUCAUUGGAAACUGGGGAACUUGAGUGCAGAAGAGAAAAGCGGAAUUCCACGUGUAGCGGUGAAAUGCGUAGAGAUGUGGAGGAACACCAGUGGCGAAGGCGGCUUUUUGGUCUGUAACUGACGCUGAUGCGCGAAAAAGCGCAC
rnacentral:rRNA from 2 species